AUUGAACGCUGGCGGCAGGCUUAACACAUGCAAGUCGAGCGGAGAGAAGUAGCUUGCUACUGAUCUUAGCGGCGGACGGGUGAGUAAUGCUUAGGAAUCUGCCUAUUAGUGGGGGACAACAUUUCGAAAGGAAUGCUAAUACCGCAUACGUCCUACGGGAGAAAGCAGGGGAUCUUCGGACCUUGCGCUAAUAGAUGAGCCUAAGUCGGAUUAGCUAGUUGGCGGGGUAAAGGCCUACCAAGGCGACGAUCUGUAGCGGGUCUGAGAGGAUGAUCCGCCACACUGGGACUGAGACACGGCCCAGACUCCUACGGGAGGCAGCAGUGGGGAAUAUUGGACAAUGGGCGGAAGCCUGAUCCAGCCAUGCCGCGUGUGUGAAGAAGGCCUUAUGGUUGUAAGGCACUUUAAGCGAGGAGGAGGCUACUUAGUUAAUACCUAGAGAUAGUGGACGUUACUCGCAGAAUAAGCACCGGCUAACUCUGUGCCAGCAGCCGCAGUAACAC
rnacentral:rRNA from 1 species